GCAAAGUUGCUUUCUCCAUUUAGCCAGUGGGCAGAAGGAAACUGCACAUCUUGCAGGAGUGAUGAUUCUGUAAUGGGCAGAAGGAAUAACCUUGAACAGGAGGAAGAACCACUACCAAGACAGCAGUCAGAUGAAAGAUAUCUGAGUCCAUGGCAGAAAUGUAAUUUGGGACCAAGUUCCUUCUUUGGGCAUCAUCAUUUGAUACUUGGUCUGGUGCAUAAUAAUAUCUUUGCAGACAUGCA